AUGCUUGCCCUGGUCGCCACCUUCGUCUUCUCCUGCCUCCUCUUCUUGUCCAAGCCAUGCGCCCGUGACAUGAGACUCUUCCUCGCUUCCAUCUCCCAACAACUCGCGCUCUCGCUGCUCGGAUUCUUGGCCGGCUACAGGCUGCUCGGCGGCGUCGCCUCCACGGCCGCGGACGCCAUGCCCCUCAUGCCUUCCUUCAAGAGGAAGCGCCCGGCCGCCAAGCUGGAGACUACGGAUACGACCGGCGAGCCGUCGGUGCUCGACCUCCCGGAGCUGGCCAUCGACUGCAUUCUCGCCAAGCUGCCGCCGGCGGAGCUGCGGAACAUGGCCGCCGUCAGCCGGUCCAUGCGGGAAAGGUGCAGGAGCGACCACCUCUGGGAGCGCCACAUGUCCGACAAGUGGGGUUCUGUCCUGGGUACCGCCGCGAGGGACGAGUGGAGGUCGUAUCUGUCCUCGUCGACCGCGGCCGGCGGCGGCGCGUCGGGGUGCGGGUCUGCUGGCAGCGGCAAGCACCGGAGGUGGCUUGCCGCGCUGUCCUGCGUCUGCCCGGUGGUGUCCUGGAUGCGGCCUAGGGCCGACGGCGGCGCCGGCACGUCCGCGGGCCCUGUGCUGGAUGAUUCCAUCAUGUCGUGGUAUCUCCACCUGGAGAGCGGCAAGUUCUGGUUCCCCGCACAGGUCUACAACCGAGAGCAUGGGCAUGUUGGGUUCAUGAUGUCAUGCUAUGAUGCAGAGCUCAGCUAUGAUUUCCGCACUGACACGUUCCACGCAAGGUAUCCACCACACGGGCGACGAACUGUAGUCUUGGAAGAUGGCGUGCAAUGGGACAGGAUCAGGGCACCUCGGGUCGAAACUCUUGCACAUGACCUGCAUGCCUCUGACUGCUUACAUGAACUACGGCCUGGCGAUAACAUUGAGAUUCAGUGGAGAAGGAACAAGGAGUUCCCAUAUGGCUGGUGGUAUGGAGUUGUUGGCCACUUGGAAUCAUGUGAUGGAAAUGAGCACUUUUGUCGGUGUCAUCUUAGUGACACCGUGGUGCUGGAGUUCAAUCAAUACACGCCUGGCUCAAGAUGGAGGCAGUCCCUGGUGAAUCGGAAGGACCACAGGGAAGAAGGCAACGAGAGUGACGGAUUCUACGGUGGAAUAAGGAAGCUCCAAGACAAGGAUGAAAUCUCAAAGUGGAAGCAGCUAUGGCCAACGGAUAUCCUGGAAUAA
rnacentral:rRNA from 1 species